AUGAGUUCUUGAGAAGAGAACUUCCA
rnacentral:snRNA from 1 species